CUUUGUUCUGUCCCAUCCAGUCUGCCACUGAGCCCAUCCACUGAAGUUUUUAUUUUGGUUACUAUCUAGGUUCAAAAUUUUCCACUUGGUUCUUCUUUAAAUCUUCUACUUCUCUGAGGAGACUUUCUAUUUCUUUGCUGACAUAUUCUAUUUUUUUCAUUUGUUUCAAGUGUGUUCAUAAUUGUUCGUUAAAGUAUUUUUAUGACAACUGCUUUAAAAUAUUUGUCAGAUAAUUCUAAAACCUAUCAUUCUCAGUGUUGCCAACUACUGUCUUUUCUCAUUUGAGAUUUUCCUCGUUCUUGGUGUGAUGAGUAACUUUCAGUUGAAAUCUGGAUAUUUGGGGUAUUAUGUUAUGAGGUUCUGGAUCUCACCAAACCUUUUGUUUUAGCAGGCUUCUUCUGACGCCACUCUAGCAGAGAAAGAGCGAGGUACUACUUCAUCACCGUCAGGUGGAGACAGAAGUCCAGGUAUCGAGUGGUGGUUCAUCCUUUGACAUGGAGAAUCCCAUUUCCUUGGACCCAAUUUUGAAGAUUUGCUUGAAUGUUACCCCAGAAUAAUUACAGCGGCUUUACAUGACAGUCAAACUCAACUUUAAGCAUUUGGCUCCAAGAGAAAAAGAGCCAUCCUACUCUGCAUGAAUGAGCAAAUAUACCCUGGAGUGAGCAGGAGAUGGGGAACCAUGACCCUGGAGUGGGAAUGAGAUGGAAAACUACUGUCUUGGUCGGUCAUAUUCUUUUUUUCACACGUUAGCAUUUCACCAAGCUGAGAAUAAAUAUAAGACAAAGAUAAUACAAUUUCUGUACAAUGUGACCCUUAAUAAAAACUAACUACUUCAUCUGGUACUCAAGUGAAGAAGCACUGAUCUGAAGAAUGCCAGUAUCUACUACAAAACAGGUAUGACUUAUUCAGGAACCACCCAUAUCUUUCUCUUCUAGAUCCUUAAUUUUUCUUACACUUUCCAUCAUUCUGCAAAUAAGGAUGCUCUAAAAGGGAGUGAAUGUCUUUUUCUUUACAAUUUUCUGCUGUUCACCUUAAAAAAAUACACACACACACAUAUAUAUAGCCUACAGAUUUUUAAACAAUUCAUCCAGUUAAAUGUCAUUUCCUUGGUUAAGGCAUAAAGGAACCAAGAUUCUGGUUUAUACUGCAAGUUUAGAAAACUAUACUAAAUGGCUAUGCUGGGAGGGAUAAAAGUUAGCAAUCAAAGUGACUUGAUUUUCCUACACAACUUCCCCUGUGAUUUCCAAGUUAAAAAGAAAAACAGAACCGGCUCAAUACUUCUGAUAGCAAGUUUAAGCCAUCUAAAUCAUAGAAAGUGGAAAAGUGCUACAGUUUAUUCCAUACAGUACUGAGCAAGUCCUAGCAUAAUCCCAUACACACAGUAUAUGCUCAACUGAUACUUGUUAAAUGAGUGUAUUUGCUGUUAUCGGUUAAAUGAAAACUCUAAGAUAAUACUGCUUUUAUCAAGAUUUACUCUGUAUAAAAAUUUGAAAAUACAAAUAAAUUCCUUAACAA